UAGUCAGUUUUGGAAAAGAAUGGUUUACCUUUCAGAAUAUGAUUCCUUCGUUUCUUCCCCUUGCAUCUGAUCAGCUUUCCAUCAAGCUGAAAGAUAAAGAAGAAAAAGUUGAAAAAGGAAAAAAAUUGAGCUAAUAAGCUUUCAUCUAAAAGAAACAAGGGGUCAGGCAAUGGCAACAAUGUCAGUUCGAGGCCUACGUCUUUUAAGAAGCUGGAGAACCCGUCUCCGACGAUGACGAUGAUAUCGAUGAAAGUGAUAGUAACGAAACUAAACUGUCUUGGGAGAAACAUGGAGCAGUGACAGGGGCAGUGACAGUUUGGWAAUAAGUGAAAGUGAAGACAGUGACGAGCAAUUUGAACCAUUGCCAGCAACAAAACAAUACACCACAAGAUGUGGAAGAARCGCUWCYAGUUUUGCAUUUCCUAAUUAAAUGUUGUGUUAAACAUUUGUCCAAUGACAUUUUUUAAAUAGCAAGCACACCUAAUUGUAUUGAAAUUUUAUCUGUUAUUAUUAAAAUCCAGGAGUUCCAAGUAA